rnacentral:rRNA from 1 species
AUGUCCUUUGCCAGCAGCAACAACAUCAUUGUGUCGGUGUCCGUUUCGGCACCAGUGCUGGAGAAGGUCUCAUGGCGCUGCAGGUAUUCCACCGUGUCCACCGGGCUUGGUGUGUCUGUCGGCCUUGGCCCUCGGGGCCUCUUGUCUGUGAGAUUACAGACGGCAGAGACCAAUGGACAGGUUCAUCCUCACGUCCAUGUCCUGUCGCUGUUCGCUGCCGCCCAUACUUCAUAUAGAUUUUCAGAGGGGCUCAACCUUACGACGGAGAUAGAGAGACAUAUGGUUACCCUUUUCUCUGUGCUGGAGCUACACGUCCAAACGUUGGGGCAUGUUUUUGGAGCAUUUGCAUUGCAUAUAUUUGACAUCGAACGGAUCCGCACUAAUACAGAAAGCCUUAAGGUCAUCCUGAUGAGAUCAGAGGAUAAUGAAGCAUGCCCAGAAAAUUGCGCUUGUGAGCUGCCCAAUAAUAACUGGAGAAGCCAAACUAUCUCCGGGACCAUGACCAAACUUGAAAAGGUGGAAAUCAAAGGAUUCCAAGGAGAAGACCAUGAGUUUGAUUUCUUGAAGCUGAUAUUUAGCUGCGCACCAAAUCUGAAAACAAUGUCUGUGAGGCUGGCAGAUGAUAUCGCGGAAAGCAACGAUUGCUGCCAGAAAAUACAUGAUGUCUUCAAGGCGUAUUUCAUGGAAUGCAAUGUGGAUGUUCGUUCGCCUUGGGUCAAUAUGCAGCUGCCAUAG